CCCCUCCCAGUCCUCUCUGUGGUUGGUAGCCUAGGUCACGGGGUGGAGCAGAAAAGGCGGGAUUUUAUUUCCCCUUCAGCAACUCUUUCUUCCCCUCAGUGAGGGAGGUGGAGUGGAGGAGGGUAUACCUCAGUGGGGUUCAACUGGUCCAGAGUAGAGACCUGCCUCCCGACUCCCAAUGCACAACAUGAGACCCAUUUUCACACGUUCAUUUUUCACUUAUACUUAAUGGCGCUAAUAAGGCGCAUUAUCUCGAAAUGGCAAUUCACAGAAGGACAUACAUGGUGUUAUCUUAGCAUCUUCACCUAAUGAAAACUAGCAAGGAACUGCCCCCCCCCCCGCAACCCUCUUUUCUGGUUGCAUGGAGUGGAAUAGGGAUGAUGCAGUAUCCCUGCUCCUAGCUGCAGCCUAACUUCUGCCAAAAAACAAAACAGUAACCCCACUGCCACAACACAUCUAAAAGGGUAUUGCAUGUUAAUCAGCCCAAGGCCUGGUUGAAGAGGGUAGUUUUCUGCCAAGAGAAAAGACCCACUCUCCUGUUGCCACCCUCCAGACUUCUUGUGGGGGAAGCACAAGGGCCUCAAACCAUGAUCCUGUGUCUGGAUAGGUUCAUAUGAAGACAGACAGUCCUUGAGGUAUUUCAGUCCUGAGCCAUUUAAGGCUUUAUAUUUACAGGUCAAAAUCAGCACUUUGAAUUGAGCCCAGAAAUAUUGGCAGCCAGUGCAGCUGAGCCAAGAUCUUUGUAAUAUAUUCAAAUUGUCGUGCCCCAGUGAGCAACCUGUCCACCAAAUUGACAUUCUAUGGCCUUUUAAACGUGUUUGCGGGAGCAGGGCUAUUGGUUUAUUUGUUACCAAGUUACGUAUUUUGGUGUUUUUAUAUUGUGAGCUGCCCUGUGAUCCUUAGAUGCAGGGCUGAAUAGAAAUUUAAUAAAUAACAGAAUGUCUUUACUCCUGACAAAUCUCCCUCACUACAGGCAUAGUACAGUGGGCCAGAAGUAUAUUUCUUAUUGAAAAUGGCUCCUGCUUUGCUGCUGCUACUCUGCAGCACACAUGGAAAUUGAUAAAACAAGUGUUUCAUCAGAAGAAUGUGUUCUAGCCCAGAUAGCGCAUGUAGUGCCCUUUGGUUUGGCCACCCUUAGCUGGAGUUCAACAUGGCAGCAACAGCUUUGCCGCAGUGAAAACCUCCAAUUUUGAUGGCUUUAAAAGAGGAUUGGACAAAUUCAUGGAAGAGAAGGCCACCAGUGGCUACUAGCCAUGAUGGCUAUGCUCUGCCUCCACCGUGGGAGGCAGAAUCCUUCUGAAUACCCAAUGCUGGAAACUGCAGAAAGGGAGAGUGCUCUUGAACUCGGGUCCUGUUUGCAGGUUUCCAACAGGCAACUGGUCUGAGAACUAGGUCUAGUACCUAUAAAAACUGACACAACAAUAAAAUGCUGAGUGAGGUACCACAGGAUGCUUUAUUUUUGCUGCAGCAAACAAGCUUCUUCUUUAACUGUUGCUACUAUGAGACGAGCUAGUAACACCUCUUCAGACAUAUAAAAUAUUAUCCUUGUUCAUUCUUCUCACAGUAAUCCUGCGACAUAGCUGCACACACAAGAACACGGUUGUGUUGAGGAAGUGGCUUGGGUGGAGUAGAUCCUGCCCAACACCCACAUUUCAAAGCAACCCAAACUGGCAAAACUAGCAUGCCUGCAAAAUUAGCAUCUCUAGACAAGUUUCCCAGAAGCUUGGCUGAAUCUUGUGUUGGAGAUGAAAGGUUAGUACCAAAGAUGACUGAUGCAUCUCCAGGAGAAGGGAGUUCUACAAUCUAGGUGCUACCACAGAGCAGGCAGUUUCCUGGGUCACUACACAAUGGGAAACACUCCUUUGUGAGGCCAUGAGAAGGGUAUCCCCUGCUGAUCUUAUUCCCUCCUCCUCCUCCUCAUCUGGUUCUUUCCUCCAGUCAACUUGGCUUGUAUGUCCCUUAUAUAAAGCUUUCAGUUAUGUUGUGCAUUGCCAGCCUAUUGUUACUUUCCCAGGGGCAACAAUUUUCAGACUGAUUGCCUACAAGAGGAGGUUAAGAGAUUUCCAUUUUACCCACUCCAAAAUGGUAAUGCCUGUUCAUGCAGGAGAAUCACUGCACUUAUCAUCCUGAAAUUUGGCAGGCUUCAUCCCCUCAAACAGGGCACCCAUAUCUGCAAAUUGCUUCAAUUCUGGCAGAAAAUAAAAAAGUUAGAGACUAUACACUUAUUUCAUUUUCAGAUGUUCCCUGUAUGAAAGUUGGCAAAUAUUGGUAGCAUUUGGGCCCCAAGACAUUCAGAGUUUUACAAAUUAAUAAAUAGUAAUGCCACAGCGGCUCCCAGGGCAGGUUACAACAAUUCAGAAUGAAAAACAGGUAAAACAGAUUACAGUCACAGGAAUAGGGCAGACUCUGAAAACAAACAUAUUAAGUGCUGGGGUAGAGAGGUGUGCUUUUCAGCAUUUGCCAAAAGCUCUAUAGCAAAAGUACCAAGCACACCUAUGUGGGGAGAUCAUUGGGCCAGCGCCACCCUGAACCUCUGAGGGUGGAAGAACUAUCAAGAGUCAGCUGGCUCGCACCAGAGCACAAGCUGCUUCUUUUUUGGUCUCACACUCUUGUGCAUGCACAAGAGUUCAGAACAAAAAAAAGGAGCACCCUAAUCUGGGUGUUAAGGGACGUGAGUGGUGCUGUGGGUUAAAUCACAGAGCCUAGGACUUGCCGAUCAGAAGGUUGGCGGUUCAAAUCCCCGCGACGGAGUGAGCUCCCGUUGCUUGGUCCCUGCUCCUGCCAACCUAGCAGUUCGAAAGCGCGUCAAAGUGCAAGUAGAUAAAUAGGUACCACUCCGGUGGGAAGGUAAACGGUGUUUCCAUGCGCUGCUCUGGUUCGCCAGAAGUGGCUUAGUCAUGCUAAGUGAGAUGAACACCGCAACCCCAGAGUUGGCCACGAGUGGACCUAAUGGUCAGGGGUCCCUUUACCUUUUAAUUUGGGUUUUGGAGGGUAUGUCCAAAAGAGGCUGCAGCUGGCAAACUAGCCACAGUUGGAUGUAGACACUCCUAGCCACUGAGGCUCCUGGACCACAAAUAACAGCAUUGGAUCUAGGGGUACCCCCAAGCAAUGAACUGCUGCCUCCAAGGGACUGCAACCCCAAACAGAGCAGGCUGUCUUCCCACCUUGUGGACUUGAUAACUUGAAACACGUAACACCUGUCUUCAGGAUUCAGCUUCAAUUUGCUGGUUCACAUCCAGUCCAUCAUUGCCCCCAAACCCGUCUAGCACCUCAGCUGCAUCUCUUGAUUCCUCUGAAUGACAUGCUCUUAUUCAUUCAAACGGCAUGUUUGCCUAAAUGUGAACUAUUUCAAACAGCAACAAUUUCUUCCUUAAUCCCUGUAUUUUUCCAUAUACAUCAAGCUUUCUACCAUCAUUAACCAAGUGCCCUCCUAUUUAGGGACAGAUGGCUUCCGUUACUCCCCCCCCCCCAUGACUGGUAAUUCAGGGCCCAGAUACAAUGAAUGAAAAAAUGUUCUCAGGUCUAGUUUCUGUUUACUUCCCUGGAAUAAAAUCCAUAUGGCCAGUGUUAAUUAUGUUGGCAAGCGCUUCACUGGCAGCACGCUGAGCCAACGAUCAACCUGAUUACAUAAAUAUAUUAGUUGGAAGGCUUCAAAUUUUUAUUAUUUCAAAGACCAGGAAGGUGGACAUUAUGCAGGCUUUCGUUUAAAAGGUUUCCUCUUGUCAAGCAUGCAGAGGCCAAGCCUCUUGUGAAGUCAUUAACCUUUUCUUAUUAACAUACGUGGGCUGCAACUCAGCUUGCAUUCCCCCCGCCAAUCUAAAAUUACAUUUUAAUUUCAUCCUAGAAGGACUGAACAACAUAUUACCUUAGCAAAUGCAAGUUACCAAACCUGUGGUUGCCAAGACACUGUGAAUGAAAAGGGCAGUAAUUGCAAAAGGAGCCAGUGGUGAGAGAAAGAGAUGCCUAACAAUUCCUGCCAAUUCCCUCAUGCAGAUAUCUCCAGAGGUUCCCCCCCCCCACAACCAGCAGUACGUUGCUGCUGUUAUAGUUGAUUUAUUAACUACAUUCUAAACCACUGUCACAAGGUGAUUCACACAUAAAAUAAUUAAAAACAGUUAAUAACACAAAAAAGGCAAAAGAUGCUGUUGUCUUACUUUCGGUGUACCAUAAAGCUCAGUUUAUUUACACAGCACUAUUGUGAAAACAUUGACAGUACAUCCAGCCAACAUCAGAUUUGAUGGCGUAGAAUUAAGAAUGAUAAAAGAGCCAUACAGUGAAGCCACAAUCCUGAAAAUAAAAUCUGAUGUAGAUCAACCUUACCCAACCUGGUGACCUCCAGAUGUUUUAGAUUGUAACUCCUAUCAGACCCAGCCAGCAAGCCUAGCUUAGAUAUUCCUAAACAAUCCAAGCUAAUAGAAGCUCCUUGCCUAAUCCGGAGUAGACACCAUUGAUGGAUUUGACAGUCAGCCACUCUUCUCUACUGGGGAUAUUGGAGCUGUGCCCAAGGAGAGGUCUGGCUAUGUGUGAUUGGCUUCUCUUUCUUCUGCUCAUUUAGACAAACGGGGCAGGGGCAUGGGGGACAGCAUACAAGGGAAACCAUCCGGACCUCUAAUGCUGACCAGACCAAAGUGCUGUCCAGCAUAGAUAGGGGUUUAAAUACUACCCGACUCCUGUGUUUGAGAACUUGGAACCACAGAGAAAUCCAAAGCACCAAAAGAGGCCCUUCAAAUAAUGUCACCCUCUUGCCUCAGGAAGCUGAAGUUAUCUAUCUUCUUUUACAGAUACAGUGUUCUGCUGACCAUGGAUAUUCUACCCAUAGAAUUGGUUGGUUUCCAGUGACACUACACAAGACGCCUUAGUAUUUUCAGCAUUAGAGCAAUGAAGCAUCCUACAUUGGCAUAUAGGGAGCCACCUUAGACUGAGUCAGACCAUUAGCCCAUCUAGCUCAGUAUUGCCAACACUGACUGGCAGGAUUUCAGACAGGAGUCUCUCGUAGUCCUACCUGGUGAGGCAUGCAAAACAGAUGCUCUACCAUUGAACUGUAUGAUGCUUCCCCACGUGCACUGAAGAAGCCACACCCAGGAUGAAAAGCCUCCACAACAAAAGACAAGAGGUAUCUCUUUGUACUGUGGAAAACAACAUUUACUAACAGAAGAGAGUGGAGGUGAAGUCAACCUGCCAAGACCCAAGCCUCUAAGAUGACUAUUUCACCCUGCUGCCAGUGAUGUGUUUGAAAGGAACUUUUGUUUCAGGGAACUGUCCUAACUUGGAAAUGAAAAAAAGAAUUAUGGUCUAGUGCAUAAUCAUCCCUGACCAUUGGCCAUGCAGGCUGGGGCUGAUGGAAGCUGUAGUUCAGCAACACCUGGAGGGCCAAGUUCCCUAUACCUGGUCUAGUGAGAUGCUGCUCCUUCCCCAAAACAGGCCCAGAAGCAGACUUCAGCAUAGUGAUGGGUGUGCGUGAUGGCCAGGCCUAAACUUUGGUCAAGACACCUGUUUAUGUGACAGGAUGAGAGGGGUGGCAAAGAAAAUGAGGUUCUGAGAACAUGCAGGCUGUUCUGUAACCAAAAGGGUAUUGCUUAUGUUGGUGAUUAUGUUUUGGGCUUGUUUUGAAAACACAUUGUACUAUGAGAUCAAGAAGCAUGCUGGUCUGUUUUUUUCUAUAUAAGCUUGGGAUUCUCUGCUUGGGGCAGAGGAGCUUGUAACACUCUGGUGUCAGGCUGCUUCUCCUUGCAUGCUUGAAAUAAAGGAGCCCCAGGCUGUGUUCUGAUUCAAAUACAACAUGUGGCUAUUUUUCCACAACAAUAUAAAAAAAAACCCUUUUCAUCAGAACAGCAGCACCGAGGGAGAGAGGUGCACUAACCUUUUCACCCUGCAGUGUUGUCUUUAUUCAAAAUCCUACCCUUUAGUUCCUAUUAGUGGUUGCUUGGAGAGGGGGGGGGAGAUGCAGGCAAUGGUGCAGGAUUGAAAGGGUUAAACACACUUUUAUCCUUGAUUGGCCACUGCUUUAAAUAAAAGUGAAGGCCCCCACAGUUGCUUUUAAGUACAUGUGUGUCGGGAUGUGUGUGUGUGUGUGUCUGUCAUGUCUAUUUUUGGCUUAGAGGUUUUCCUGUUCUAAAAAGGCACUCUCUCUUCCCAGAGCUAAAAAAAAAAAGUAAAUAGUUCCUAUUCAAUAAAUUAAGACUUAAGAAACCAUUUAAAAAGCAUCAAGUGUAACCAACCAACAGAGAGGGUCAUAUUCUUCUGCUUGGAGCUUGAAUCCAAACAAUAAAUAACAGGUUCAGUACCCUGUGGUUGGAACAGGCAGUUUUGAGAACA